UGACCGCUGCCGGCUCUUCUCCAUCAUCGGACUCCAGGCAGAACUCCAGGCCUGGCCCAGCCCCUCCGCCUUUCAUGUCCCAGCCCCAAGCGACUGAGGGGCCACGGAUGUGUGCGGAGGGACGAGGAGUCUCCCGGAACCAGGAGGACUGAGGCAGGAGACCCACCAAGGUCUUGAGCUCUUCCCCAACAUAUCCCGAUGACUGAGUUGCCAGAGACAGAAUGGACCAGUCUACGACCUUGUGAGCUUUGAAAGGUCCAAAGAAUGAUCCGAGCUCUAGCGACUGGCUCCGGCGUCUGUCCACGGCCACCGAGCCUAACGAGCAGCGGGCUCUAUCGGUCCAGCACCUGAGACCCUGACCUGCAAGGUGAGGACCGAUUCAUCCCUCGGUCACAUUCAGAUGGAGCUCAGUGGAGAUGCAAGAGAGAAAAGGCCCCCAGAGCCAGAACAUCCCCCUCGGACACAUGUUCUAUUUACCAGUGUUUUAGAAGCUUGAGCCCUUUCUCCUCAGGAUCCUUGUGUGUCUGUGGGGUGGAAAAUGGGCCCCACAUUGUGUUGGGGGAAGGGCUAUUUCAUGUCAACCUCUUAAAAAGUGAGUCUACACGCCCUGCUUUUAUGCUCACCACGCUUUCUUGGUAAAUACUCCCUUUGUAAAAUUUAGCAAAUGACAAGUGGUUAAUUGAUAUUGGGGAGCCACUGCUUGGGGCUCUGAGCCACAGGAUCAUAAAUCCCAUUCCCUUGAGAGAAAGAACUCUGAAGCCAGAUGUAGGCAACUACUGGCUGAAGAUCCAAUCUGCCAGUGGGAGCCGGGGUACAAAGUGCCUCAGAGAGGGGUCCGAGGUCCUGGAGAAGAGGGGUGGCUCCAGCGAGGGCUCAUUCUCCCGAGUCCCAGCUGAUCAUCUUGGAUGUCACAGCAGCAAGGCCCCAGUGCUCAUGGCCAGGCUCCAGGAGCAGGACCCCAACCGAUGGCUGGCCCGUAUGCUGGCUUUUCAUCAGGUUGAUUGAAAAAUGCAACCCGAUUGGGAACAGCCCGCUCGAGCUCCCCAUCCCGGGAUUCCGGUGCCUUGUCUCCCAGACGAGAAUCUAAGCUUUUCCAAGGCAAGGUCUCUUUCUGUUUCAUCUCUGUAUCCUUAUGUAACCAUUACAGAGAGUAGCAGGACCUUGAAUGUUUGUGGAAUCCAAUCAAAUGAAUUAAACAAAUGGAAUUGAGUUGAAUUUAGGCUCUGCUCAGCUAACUUGCCGAUGGCUCCCACUUUGUCCCCCACUUUCCUGGAGUUUGGAAUGGUUUUGGUCCCUCAGGGCAUGGCCCCUACCCAAGAAUGGACAGAAAAGGAGCUCAGCUGGGCCAGACCUGGGCUACAGACCUGGGAGAAGCCAGGAGUUGGACGGAACCAGCCCCGGCCUCAGCAAUACCCAGACCCGAGGGCAAGAGGGGUGACCGAGAGAGGAGAGGGAUGGAAAAGACUUUGAUGGUCAGGUCCAUGUAUAAUGUCAAUCUCCUAACUGGCCUGCAAGGUGUUUGACCUCACAUACACCAUAUCCCCUUCCAUUAACUCAUUCAGGAGCUACUCUUGCAGGUGGUGAUCCAUUAUCCCUCCUCCCACC